UUAACUUAACUACUUGUUCACGAACGACUUACCCCACACUCAAAACAAAGCCCCGUAAAACGAAAAAGGAAAAAAAAAAAAAAAAGAAAGAAAAAGUAUUUCCCCGCACGUCAACUAUCAACUAACGAUCUACGAUCUACAUCAACCCGAAUCCCAGAUCCCAGCCCUGAGAAAUAACAAUAACAACAUCAUCAAAGAAAAGACAUAGACAUAGACAUAGACAGAUGAUAUAUCCCUUCCACGCUAGCCCCCGCUCCCCAACAACCCCGGGUGAGGCAUCAAUAUCUAUAUAACUACUAUCUCCCAUCACCGCCAUCAUACAUACCAUCGUACCAUACUAGACCAUGUCAUAUAUAUAUAUAUAUAUAUAUAUAUAUAUAUAUAUAUAUAUUACCAGAAAAAAAGAAAAGAAAGAAAGAAAGAA
rnacentral:sRNA from 1 species